rnacentral:rRNA from 1 species
CCUACGGGAGGCAGCAGUGAGGAAUAUUGGUCAAUGGACGAGAGUCUGAACCAGCCAAGUAGCGUGAAGGAUGACUGCCCUAUGGGUUGUAAACUUCUUUUAUAUGGGAAUAAAACGUUCCACGUGUGGGAUUUUGUAUGUACCAUAUGAAUAAGGAUCGGCUAACUCCGUGCCAGCAGCCGCGGUAAUACGGAGGAUCCGAGCGUUAUCCGGAUUUAUUGGGUUUAAAGGGAGCGUAGGUGGAUUGUUAAGUCAGUUGUGAAAGUUUGCGGCUCAACCGUAAAAUUGCAGUUGAAACUGGCAGUCUUGAGUACAGUAGAGGUGGGCGGAAUUCGUGGUGUAGCGGUGAAAUGCUUAGAUAUCACGAAGAACCCCGAUUGCGAAGGCAGUUCACUGGACUGCAACUGACACUGAGGCUCGAAAGUGUGGGUAUCAAACAGGAUUAGAUACCCCAGUAGUC